CACUCCUACGGGAGGCAGCAGUGGGGAAUAUUGGACAAUGGGCGCAAGCCUGAUCCAGCCAUGCCGCGUGAGUGAUGAAGGCCCUAGGGUUGUAAAGCUCUUUCACCGGUGAAGAUAAUGACGGUAACCGGAGAAGAAGCCCCGGCUAACUUCGUGCCAGCAGCCGCGGUAAUACGAAGGGGGCUAGCGUUGUUCGGAUUUACUGGGCGUAAAGCGCACGUAGGCGGACUAUUAAGUCAGGGGUGAAAUCCCGGGGCUCAACCCCGGAACUGCCUUUGAUACUGGUAGUCUUGAGUUCGAGAGAGGUGAGUGGAAUUCCGAGUGUAGAGGUGAAAUUCGUAGAUAUUCGGAGGAACACCAGUGGCGAAGGCGGCUCACUGGCUCGAUACUGACGCUGAGGUGCGAAAGCGUGGGGAGCAAACAGGAUUAGAAACCCUAGUAGUCCCAUGA
rnacentral:rRNA from 1 species